GACGAACGCUGGCGGCAGGCUUAACACAUGCAAGUCGAGCGCCCCGCAAGGGGAGCGGCAGACGGGUGAGUAACGCGUGGGAACGUACCCUUUGCUACGGAAUAGCUCCGGGAAACUGGAAUUAAUACCGUAUGUGCCCUACGGGGGAAAGAUUUAUCGGCAAAGGAUCGGCCCGCGUUGGAUUAGCUAGUUGGUGGGGUAAUGGCCUACCAAGGCGACGAUCCAUAGCUGGUCUGAGAGGAUGAUCAGCCACAUUGGGACUGAGACACGGCCCAAACUCCUACGGGAGGCAGCAGUGGGGAAUAUUGGACAAUGGGCGCAAGCUUGAUCCAGCCAUGCCGCGUGAGUGAUGAAGGCCUUAGGGUUGUAAAGCUCUUUCACCGGAGAAGAUAAUGACGGUAUCCGGAGAAGAAGCCCCGGCUAACUUCGUGCCAGCAGCCGCGGUAACAC
rnacentral:rRNA from 1 species